AAAAGAUGUAAUGUUAUCAGUUUAUUACUCUUUCUAGUUAUGUAAGUGUUACCCAGAAAAGCCCCAUGCUUUCCUGCAUGUUGGUUUCCAAUGUGAGUGAUGUAAAAGAUGUAAAAGAUGUAAACGUGGUUAGGUUCCAUGUUUUCACCAGGAAAGUCCCAUACUUUCCUGAAUGUUGAUUACUGUACGUGAAAGAUGUAAAAGAUGUAAAAGAUGUAUAAGUGGUUUAUUAUUACUAUAAGUAAAUCUCUGUUAUCCUAAUUGUGAGUUCCAUAACCAUACGAUAGACUAAACCUGUGGCAAUAAGUAGUCCACAUGUGGCAAUAAGUAGUCCACAUACUUAUGACUUUCGUCACCCUUGAACCAUUUUGGUUCGGCUGUAGCUAGCAGCCAGGUGUGGGGUAGUCAGCCCCGUAUAGAUCUAUACACUCAAGUCACGCUCUCGAAAUCCCAGAGAUUCUGGUUAUGGGUGUAGUCCUCCACUCGCAUAUCUCGGUGGAGUGUUCGCCGAGGACGUGUCUCCAAUCAUACAGGAUUAACAAAUUUACUAGUAAUAAUAUGAUAGUCCUCCACUCGCGUAUAUGUGUGGAGUGUUACCGAGGACAAAACAGCGUAGAGGAAUUAUAUUCAAAUGUCUAAUGUCAUGCUUUUAACUGAUAAAAUGUGAAAAGUCAUUUGUGAAAUAUAUGUAAAACAUAACAGUUUAAAGACCCAUUUCACAAAUAUAUGUUACGUGAUUCGCAUGUUCAAACGGUUAACAGUUGUGGUAAUCAGUAUUAAAAGCAUAUGGAAUAUGAAACACACAUUUGAAAACAUGUUUUGAGUACAAGAAUUCCCUUGUACUUUGCUUGUGUUCCCCCCUGAAAACAGUGAAAACAGUGAAAAAGGGUAGGGGUAUGAACUCACCGGACUCAGAAAUGCGUCGGUAUUGGAUACUAGAUGUUGGUUCGGGGUUUGAUUAUUCGUGAUGUCCCUAUGUAAAAUGAAAUAAUGUCCAUAUAUAUAUAUACAAUUAGAGAUACAUUCACUAAUCAUAUGGAACAUUACACUCCAACGAGGUUAAACACCUCAAAACGAGCGUUUGGAGUGACCCGGGUGACAUCUUCGGACGUGUAAUGGCACUAGGGACUUGGGACUUGAGUUUACUCCCCAAAAGUAACCAUUUUAAGGAGUUUACAGCCAUAGAACACACACAUACAUGAGUUUACGGCCGUAAACUCAUGUGGGUGUGAUUUUGAGUGUUUAAUGGCUUCAAUGGACAUGGGGAUUGUUGGAAUGGAUUUCUAAAAUGCCUUGGGGGUUGAUUGAAUGGAAUUAUAACACUUAAAAGGGAGUCUACAGCCACACCAUAAGAGUUUACGACUGUAAACUCACCCAUGGCCAAGAAAAAUUGAUUUGAGCUACAAAGGACAAUCACAUGUGAUUCUAGUUAAUUUUCCAAGCCUUGUUAUGAAUUUAGAACAUCAUUUAACAUACUUUUAGGAGUUUACGGCCUAGAGGCAUGUUCUAAGGCCGUAAACUCUCUUAUACCCAUGAAAAGUUAGUUUUUGAUGCUUAAAACAAUCACAUGUGAUUCUAGAAAUUUAUGCAAGCCAUUUGAGUGGAUUUGAUGCAUCCUUUAACAAGUUUUAUGAGUUUACGGCCAAGGGUAUGUUCCUAGGCCGUAAACUCCUAUAAAUGACAUUUUUGAUAUGUUUCAAACCCUUAAACUAUUUUUAGAUGCAGCUAGAUUUUACCACAAGGCCAUUGGUUGAGUUUCAAGGCAUUUGGACAUGUUUAAAGGCUCAAAAUCCCCAUUUAAGAGGAGUUUACGGCCCAAGAAUGUGUCUUGGCCAUAAACUCUCUUUUGUCCCCCAAAAUUCAUGUUUAAAGUGUUCCAAGUCUAGAUUAGCAAGCCUUAAGGUCAUAUCUAAGUCCCAACUAUGAUUUGGAAGGGUAAUUUUGCUCAAAAACCCCAUGUUGAGGAGUUUACGGCCCAAGCAUGAUCCUUGGCCGUAAACUCAUGUUUUUGGCCCCAAAACUAAGUUUAAACAUCAAUUUGAAGGCUAAAGAGGUUGGAUAACAAGUUAGGGGUGUUACCUCUUUGAUCUGGAGCCUUAAAUCUUUGUUUUUGGACCUUUGAUUAUGGAUGAGGAGAGAGGUUGUGAGAGUUCUAUGAUAAAAUGGCCAAAGGAUUCAAAUGGAGUCCUAAAACACUUUAUAUAGUGUCUAAGUUUUGGACACGAUGGAAUUCUACCCGAUACCGGCGUUAGACGAGGCUUUCGGUCGUACCCGAUUAGGUUGCCGUAACCCGAUAUGGUAAAUUCUAGAAAUAUUCCGAUCACUAAAGUUGGGUGUUAAAAUGAUUUCUAAAUGUAUUAAGACACCCAUUAAGUCAUUUUAAAUACGUACAAGUUAAUGACUUAAUUAAACGGAAGAUCGGAAAUCGAAUUUGGAAACGACGAUUGGUUGCGCGAAUUGUACUAUGAAAGAGUUACAAGAAAUGAUAUGGAAAUUUCGGGUUGUUACAUUAUCCCCCCGUUAAAGGGAAUUUCGUCCCGAAAUUCAAAGUUUAACACAAGACAAGAUACAAAUCAUGGAUCUGGAAAGAGUUGUGGAUACUUCUGUUUCAUUGAGUCUUCCCGCUCCCAAGUGAAUUCCGGUCCUCGCUUGGCAUUCCAGCGAACCUUCACUAACGGGAUGCGACUUUGCUUUGUACGUUUGACAUCUCGAUCCAUGAUUUCGAUCGGUUCCUCAACAAAGUUGAGGUUUUCAUCGAUCUCAAUCUCGUCUAAAGGAAUCGCUAGGGUUUCGUCGGAUAGGCACUUUUUGAGAUUUGAGACAUGGAAGACAGGAUGUAUGUUACUGAGUUCGUGAGGUAAACGAAGUUUAUAAGCAACCGGACCGAUCUUGGAGAGGAUCUCGAAGGGUCCAAUGUACCUUGGGUUAAGUUUCCCACGCUUACCAAAGCGUACAGUGCCUUUCCAGGGCGAGACUUUCAACAGGACACGGUCUCCAACCUGGAAUUCUAGUGGUUUCCGACGAUUAUCAACGUAACUCUUUUGGCGAUCUCAUGAGGCUUUCAGUCGGUUACGGAUUUGAAUGAUCUUUUCGGUGGUUUCGCGGAUGAUUUCAGGACUAGUGAGAGCACUGUCGAGGACUCGACUCCUGGCUAACUGUGUAUCCCCCAACUCGGCCCAGCACAGAGGGGAUCUGCACUUACGACCGUAUAGGGCUUCAAACGGAGCAGCCCUAAUGCUGGUGUGGUAACUGUUGUUGUACGAGAAUUCGAUCAACGAUAGAUGUGUGUCCCACGACUUUCCAAAGUCAAUGACACAUGCCCUAAGCAUGUCCUCCAGGGUUUGGAUUGUUCUCUCACUCUGUCCAUCGGUCUGAGGAUGAUACGCUGUGCUCAUAUCUAGUUUGGUUCCAAGGGCUUUCUGGAGGGACUGCCAAAAUUGGGAGGUAAACCUGCUAUCUCGAUCAGAGAUAAUGGACACAGGUACACCGUGCAGUCAGACUACCUCUUGGAUGUAGGUUCGUGCGAGUCUUUCCAUCUUGUAUGAUUCUUUGAUCGGAACGAAGUGAGCGGAUUUUGUCAAACGAUCGACAAUUACCCAAAUGGUAUCGUACCCACUAGAACACUUGGGCAGUUUGGUGAUGAAGUCCAUGGUAAUCAUCUCCCAUUUCCACUCGGGAAUCUCGGGCUGCUGGAGCAGACCUGAGGGUUUCUGAUGUUCAACUUUGACUUUGGCGCAAGUCAGACACUUGCCCACUAAUGUAGCUAUCUCAGCCUUCAUGUUUGGCCACCAGUAUUGCUUCUUGAGAUCCAGGUACAUCUUGUCAGAACCUGGGUGAACAGAGUAUUUGGUUCUGUGCGCUUCCUCCAUGACUAUUUCCCUAAAUCCUCCGGACUUGGGAAUCCAGAUUCGAUUCAUGAAACAGUGAACUCCGUCACCUCUGAUCUCAAGUUUCUUUUCCAUUCCUCUCAUGGCUUGAUUUGACAUGUUCUCGGGUUUGAGGGCUGUUAGCUGGGCUUCUCGGAUUUGUAUGGGUAAGUUGGAAUGGAUAGUUAUCGUUUGGUUCUUCACUUUGUGGCCCGCACUAUUCUUUCAGCUAAGGGCAUCUGCUACCACAUUGGCCUUGUCGGGGUGGUAACGGAUUUCACACUCAUAAUCAAUGAGUAAUUCUACCCAUCGCCGUUGCCUCAUGUUUAAGUCUUUCUGAUUAAAGAUGUGCUGCAGGCUCUUGUGAUCAGUGAAGAUCGUGCACUUGGUUCCGUAAAGAUAAUGUCUCCAAAUCUUCAAUGCAAAGACUACGGCUCCUAGUUCCAAGUCAUGUAAGGUAUAGUUGACCUCGUGUGCUUUCAGCUGUCUUGAGGCAUAAGCAAUCACCUUUCCUCUUUGCAUAAGCACACAGCCUAAACCUUGAUUAGACGCAUCGCAGUAAACAACGAAGUCCUCUGUUCCUUCAGGCAAAGACAGAACAGGCGCGCUGCAUAGGGCUCUCUUCAACGUUUGGAAUGCAGUUUCUUGUUUAUCACUCCAACAAAAGGGUACACCUUUCUAUGUUAAAGUGGUUAAAGGUUUGGCAAUUUUGGAAAAAUUCUGAAUGAAUCUUCGAUAGUAGCCGGCGAGACCCAAGAAUUGACGAAUUUCUGUGGGUGUCUUUGGUGCCGACCAAUUCUCUAUCGCUUUAAUCUUGGAAGGAUCUACGUGAAUACCCUCCUCGCUUACUACGUGACCGAGGAAAGUUACCUUCCUUAUUCAGAAUUCACACUUGGAGAAUUUCGCGUAUAGCUUUUCGGAUCUAAGGGUCUCCAAUACUAACCUCAAGUGUUGCUUGUGGUCUUCUUCGCUUCGGGAGUAGACGAGGAUGUCGUCAAUGAACACGAUGACGAACUUGUCUAAGAAGGGACGACACACCCGGUUCAUCAGGUCCAUGAACACAGCCGGUGCAUUGGUUAGACCGAAGGGCAUCACUACGAACUCGUAGUGUCCAUACCGAGUCCUAAAAGCUGUUUUGGAAACAUCAUUCCCCUGGACUCGUAACUGAUGGUACCCUGACCAUAGGUCUAUCUUUGAGAAAUAGCUGGCUCCCUGGAGUUGAUCGAAGAGGUCGUCUAUUUGUGGAAGAUGAUAUCGGUUCUUAACGGUCAACUUGUUCAGCUCGCGGUAGUCAAUACACAUCCGAAAGGAUCCAUCUUUCUUCUUGACAAACAGUACCGGAGCUCCCCAGGGUGAGGAACUCGGUCUAAUGAAUCCUUUACUGAGAAACUCAUUGAGUUAACUGGAUAACUCCUACAUUUCUGCUGGAGCUAAUCGAUACGGAGACUUUGCUACGGGGGUAGCUCCGGGAAUUAGGUCAAUACGGAACUCGACCUGACGCUCGGGAGGAAUUCCUGGAAGCUCUUCGGGAAACACAUCUGGAAAGUUACAGACUUCGGGGAUGCUCGCAAGGUCUCUAACUUCUUGUUUCUCGUUAAUCACAUGGGCUAAGAAUGCAAUGCACUCCUUUUGUAGGAGCUUUCGAGCUUUGAUGCAGGAAAUGAUACGAAGAUUGGAACUGGGUUUAUCACCAUAGAUUACGAGAGUUUGAUCCGAAGGAAGGUUGAGACGGAUGGCUUUUUCGUAGCAAAGGAUAUCAGCAUGAUUGGGACUCAACCAAUCCAUGCCAAUGAUAACAUCAAAGCUCUUAAUGGAAAUGGGCAUGAGAUCUAUAAGAAAUGAGUGAUCAUUUAGGGUAAGCGUACAACCUAUGAAUACGUCGCUAGCGCUUUCUUUCUCACCGUUAGCCAUCUCGACGGUAAACGUUUCAGUUAAUGGUUGGGGAUUACAUUUUAGAUUAUGUUUGAAUGAAUGACUAACAAAACUCCUUUCAGCACCCGAAUCAAAAAGAAUACUAGCAUAUGAGUUGUCGAGAAGAAACGUACCCGAAACAACAGUGGGAUCAGCGACUGCUUCCUCCCGUCCCAUGGUUAGAACUCUUCCAGUGUUAUCAGCAGUUGACUUCUUGGGAUAGUUCCUUUUAAAGUGCCCAACUUGUCCACAGUUGUAGCAGGCUUGACUAACACCUGCUCCAGAUGAUUGGUUGGCUGAUUGGGUAGGAGUUUUGCAGAAUCGAACUGUGUGCCCUUUCUUACCACAGUUGGUACAGGAUAGUUCUCGGCAGGGGCCAGGAUGAUGAUGGUAUUUGCACUUGUCACACAGAGGAAGAUUACCAGCAUAUUUACUGGUAGGAGUUGGAGCUGUGGAUCCCACAACAGAAGCAGCAGCAACAGGAGUACUAGCAGCAUGGGCUGCUACUGUCUGCUGUUUCUUGGAAGAUCCUUGAGAAGAUUGACCCUUCUUUUUCUUCCAGAAUUUUCUCUUCUCGCCACUCCUUUGAGUCGGCUCAGAAGUGGUAAUGAUUUCCUUAACGUCAUUGUUGUGAUCAAUCAGAGUUUGAGCUAAAGUUUUGGCACUAUCAUAGGUAUCUGGACGGGCAGCCAAAACAUGACUCUUUGUUGGCUGGGAUAACCCCCAAAUGAACCUUUCAAUCUUCUUGUUCUCAGGAGUGACUAAUCCCGGGCAGAGAAGUGCGAUAUCAUCGAAUCGGGAAGUGUAUGUAGCAAUGUCGGAACCUUUCAUCUCCAGGUUCCAGAGCUCGUGCUCUAGCUUCUGCAUUUCACCAUGGGGGUAGUACUCGGCAAGAAGGAGUUCUUUCAUGGCUUCCCAGCCCAUGGCAUUGGCUACGGGUAGGGUCAAGGAUUUGACUCGGCCGUUCCACCAAGUCAAUGCUUUAUCAAGGAAGGUACAAGCUGCGAACUUGACCGUAUCGGAUUCAGCACAAGCACAGAUUUCGAAGAUGGAUUCGAUUCUCUCGAACCAUCGGGACAAGGAAAUGACACCGCCAGUGCCAUCGAAGAAUGAAGGCUUCGCGUUCAUGAAUUCCUUGUAGGAACCCACCUUACGAUGCUCCUGGUUACUUUCUUGAUUCUGGUUACUACCUCCUGAACCACCGGAACCACCGGUGUUUAGUUGGGACAUGGCAGCUGCCACUGCAGCGGUAACUGUUGUCUGGAAUAACACAGGGUCGAUUUCAAGAGGAGGUGGAGGCGGAGGGUUGUUGGAGCUGGAUCUCCGUCGGGGAGGCAUAUUGAUCUAAUAAGAUCAGGAAAGAGAUAAUGAUAAGCCCUCCAAAUUGAAUCAAGAGAUAUGACAGUUAUAUGUUCCGAAUAAGCGAUAAAGCAGGGAAGAAUUAUCGAAACAGAUAAUUUAUCGCUAAGAAUAAUCACAGAAAGUCAUUCGAAUAAAGAUUUCUACAGAGGAUUGAGAUCGAGAAAUACUCCCAUAGUAUUUCAUGAAUUGAUUACGACAAUGGUUCGAUGUUUGGGAUAUUAGGGUAAGUUUUAGGCAUGCCGCAUACCACAGUCACUCCCAAGCACAUGUUGGUCGUGUCUCGAAUGAAUAUAGUUGGCCAGGCUAUAUUGAUCCUAGACACGACUACAUAACUGCCCAGGUUUAACCGAAGUACACAACACCCAUUUACUUAUGUUCUGUUCUACUUCUAGUUAUGGAUCGCGACGAUUCGGUAUACUUGUAUACUUUUGAAAAUACUUGUAGUUUGAAGAUACUUUUAAUUCAGAGCACUUAGGCCCUUUAGUGUUUAUAGUUUUAUACCAUGUAAGGUCUGGUAUACUUCAUUCACUAUAAACAAGGGCUCUGAUACCAAUCUGUCACACCCCGAAAACUGAAGGCGGAAACAUUUCCGGGGUUGACUCCAUGUUGAGUAUCAAAUCCAAUGCACAUAGUAAGUAAAGUAAAGCAACCAUUACAUUACAUAAGAAAAGUUUUACAGUUGUUUCAAAAGUAAAGUUUGUACAGUUGUGAUACAUAGUAUAUAUAAACAAAAUUAAACAGGUCUUCGUGUACUCCGUCUUCUGACCAAAAAGGAAUCUUCAGGUACCUGUUCUAACGCUGACCUAAGAACACAAGCAGUUUAAAAAUCAGCAUAAAGCUGGUGAGUUCAUAAGCGGUUUUUGUUUGUGAAAAUGUUUCCAGUUUCCUUUCUGUUUCUGAAAUGUUAUGUAUACCAAGAAAAUCCCGUAUUUUCUUAAAAGUUGGUUAUUGUUUCACCGACGUAAAGUAUGGUAAAUUUGUACACUGAAAACAUGUCUACUCAUGUGAAAAUGUAUAGUUGGUUAUCCGACUUGUUAAACUGUUCUGUUUACUUAUCAUGUAUUCCCAGGAAAGUCCCAUACUUUCCUUAUUGUAUAUUACCAAUUGUAAAAGAUGUAAUGUUAUCAGUUUAUUACUCUUUCUAGUUAUGUAAGUGUUACCCAGGAAAGCCCCAUGCUUUCCUGCAUGUUGGUUUCCAAUGUGAGUGAUGUAAAAGAUGUAAAAGAUGUAAACGUGGUUAGGUUCCAUGUUUUCCCCAGGAAAGUCCCAUACUUUCCUGAAUGCUGAUUACUAUACGUGAAAGAUGUAAAAGAUGUNAUUAUUACUAUAUGUAAAUCUCUGUUAUCCUAAUUGCGAGUUCCAUAACCAUACAAUAGAACAAAACCUGUGGCAAUAAGUAGUCCACAUGUGGCAAUAAGUAGUCCACAUACUUAUGACUUUCGUCACCCUUGAACCAUUUCGGUUCGGCUGUAGCUAGCAGCCAGGUGUGGGGUAGUCAGCCCCGUAUAGAUCUAUACACUCAAGUC
rnacentral:lncRNA from 1 species